CACCAGUGACCUUGUUCAAGGGCUUUGAUGGAGUUUUGGAAGGGAGAGGAGUAAAGAGGCUUCGCCACUUGCUUGAAGGACAAACCAGGUGUUUGCAUGCUGGAAGGCCUAUCCAGCAGAAGGCUUCAUACAUGCAACCAUGAAAUGUAUUGCAGAGUGAGCCUAGAAACUACUGUAGGAG